rnacentral:rRNA from 1 species
AUUGAACGCUGGCGGCAGGCUUAACACAUGCAAGUCGAGCGGGGGGAAGGUAGCUUGCUACCGGACCUAGCGGCGGACGGGUGAGUAAUGCUUAGGAAUCUGCCUAUUAGUGGGGGACAACAUCUCGAAAGGGAUGCUAAUACCGCAUACGUCCUACGGGAGAAAGCAGGGGAUCUUCGGACCUUGCGCUAAUAGAUGAGCCUAAGUCGGAUUAGCUAGUUGGUGGGGUAAAGGCCUACCAAGGCGACGAUCUGUAGCGGGUCUGAGAGGAUGAUCCGCCACACUGGGACUGAGACACGGCCCAGACUCCUACGGGAGGCAGCAGUGGGGAAUAUUGGACAAUGGGGGGAACCCUGAUCUGGCCAUGCCGCGUGUGUGAAGAAGGCCUUAUGGUUGUAAAGCACUUUAAGCGAGGAGGAGGCUACUUUAGUUAAUACCUAGAGAUAGUGGACGUUACUCGCAGAAUAAGCACCGGCUAACUCUGUGCCAGCAGCCGCCGUAA